CAGUCGCCGCGGGAAUACGUAGGUGGCAAGCGUUGUCCGGAAUUAUUGGGCGUAAAGGGCUCGCAGGCGGUUUCUUAAGUCUGAUGUGAAAGCCCCGGCUCAACCGGGGAGGGUCAUUGGAAACUGGGAAACUUGAGUGCAGAAGAGGAGAGUGGAAUUCCACGUGUAGCGGUGAAAUGCGUAGAGAUGUGGAGGAACACCAGUGGCGAAGGCGACUCUCUGGUCUGUAACUGACGCUGAGGAGCGAGAGCGUGGGGAGCGAACAGGAUUAGAUACCCCAGUAGUCCCUGUCUCUUAUACC
rnacentral:rRNA from 1 species